AUAUAACUAGGCGGAGGAAAAGAAACUAACCAGGAUUCCCUUAGUAACGGCGAGUGAAGCGGGAAAAGCUCAGACGUAAAAUCUUCGGAAAUGUCGUCUGGAGAAGCUAGAUUAUACUAUGAGGAUGGGCAAAGUCUUCUGGAAUGAAGCGCCAUGGAGGGUGACAGCCCCGUCUAUGCUUAUCCAACUAGUAAAUUUCGGCUUUCUACGAGUCGAGUUGUUUGGGAUUGCAGCUCUAAGUGGGUGGUAAAUUCCAUCUAAAGCUAAAUAUUGGUGGGAGACCGAUAGCGCACAAGUA
rnacentral:rRNA from 1 species